rnacentral:tRNA from 2 species
GCCUCAGUGGCUCAGCCUGGUAGAGCACCGCCUUGGUAAGGCGGUGGUCGCGGGUUCAAACCCCGCCUGAGGCUCCA